AGGGCGUGGCCAUGAGAGAGGUGACCAAUCCCAAGGAGCCCACCCCCUACUGGACGACCUAUCGCAGUGAGCACAGGAGUCCUAGCCCCUCUCCCUCACCACACGACCCCACUGGUAGACCCACACUGUGGCAUCAACAUGAUAUACUGACAGGUGAGACCAGGACUCCAGCAGGUCCAGGUAACGCCAGGAGACAGUCUGGAGAGAGAGUCCUGUGGGCAACACGACGCUGGGAGACGGACUGCUGUUCCUUCCGACUCUACUAAACACACAAUUCAACUAUUAUUGUCCCGCUGAAAGGGGAAUUCAUCUCCCAGUGUCUGGUGGAACGCAGACUGAACCAGGUUUUCCUCUAGGAUUAUGCCUGUACUUCGCUCCAUUCAGUUUGCCCCAAACAUUAAACUUCAUAUUCAGGACAAAAAGUGAAUUGAUUUGCCACAUUUUUUUACAGUAUUACUUUAGUAGAUUGCUGUGAACAGGAUGCAUGUUAUGGAAUAUUUUUCACUCUGUCGUUUAGGUCAGUUUUCUCCUAUCACAGCCAUUAAACUAACGGUUUUAAAUAUCA